GGUGGGUAUAGUACAGUGGUUAGUACGCUUGCUUGUGGUGCAAGAUGUCGUAGGUUCAAAUCCUUCUUCCCGCCA
rnacentral:tRNA from 2 species